rnacentral:misc_RNA from 1 species
GAUGAAGAACGUAGCGAAAUGCGAUAAUUAAUGUGAAUUGCAGAAUUCAGUGAAUCAUCGAAUCUUUGAACGCACCUUGCGCCCUUUGGACAUUCCGAAGGGCAUGCCUGUUUGAGUAUCAUGAACACCUCAACUCUCACGGCUUGUCCGUGAUGAGCUUGGACUUUGGGGGUCUUGCCGGCCUGUGGUCGGCUCCUCUCAAAUGGAUCAGCUUGCCAGUGUUUGGUGGCAUCACAGGUGUGAUAACUAUCUGCGCUUGUGGUUUUCCAUCAGAUAACCUUCAGUGAUAUGGAGGUUCGCUGGAGCUCACAAAUGUCUCUCCUUAGUGAGGACAGCUCUUUGAACGUUUGAUCUCAAAUCAGGUAGGACUACCCGCUGAACUUAAGCAUAUCAAUAAGCGGAGGA